GAUGAACGCUGGCGGCGUGCCCAAUACAUGCAAGUCGAGCGAACGGACGAGAAGCUUGCUUCUCUGAUGUUAGCGGCGGACGGGUGAGUAACACGUGGAUAACCUACCUAUAAGACUGGGAUAACUUCGGGAAACCGGAGCUAAUACCGGAUAAUAUUUUGAACCGCAUGGUUCAAAAGUGAAAGACGGUCUUGCUUUCACUUAUAGAUGGAUCCGCGCUGCAUUAGCUAGUUGGUAAGGUAACGGCUUACCAAGGCAACGAUGCAUAGCUGACCGGAGAGGGUGAUCGGCCACACUGGAACUGAGCCACGGUCCAGCCUCCUACGGGAGGCAGCAGUAGGGAAUCUUCCGCAAUGGGCGAAAGCCUGACGGAGCAACGCCGCGUGAGUGAUGAAGGUCUUCGGAUCGUAAAACUCUGUUAUUAGGGAAGAACAUAUGUGUAAGUAACUGUGCACAUCUUGACGGUACCUAAUCAGAAAGCCACGGCUAACUACGUG
rnacentral:rRNA from 1 species